GGGAUGGGGUGCGGUGGCACCCGCGGUGCCCUCCCCCCGGGAUUGGGGACACCUGAUCCCGACCCGCUCCACUCCAAGGAUGAGUUUGGCCGUUCCCAGCUCCCCAAAAUCCCCGUCCUGGGAGCUGCGCCGUUAUCCCGCUGUUCCCGCAUCCCAUCCGGGAUCCAAACCCGCCCGAGCAGCGACUCCCGGCCGCUCUCCACCAACAUUUCGGGGGCUGCCCCCAGGGUCAGGAUUUGGGGGGAGCUGCUCCAGGAUCCCGUCCCUUUCCCAGCCAUCUCCCUGCUCCGGAGCAUCCUGAGGUUCCCAACUGGUUCUGGGAAGUUCCCGGGCAUCCCGGUUGCUUUUCUGGGCACCUGGAUGAGCCCGGGAGCCCCAAAAUCUCCGGAGGCUCGCGGAUUUCUGGGAAGAGGUUUUCCCAGCGGGAGCUGCCCUGGAGCGGUGGCCACGCUCCGCUCGGCAUUUUUUUAGGAUUCCAUAUUUAUUUAUUUCUUAUUCCACGUUUGCGGCCGAUCCCCGGCAGAUCCAAGGGCAGAUCCACAAAGGAAAGCGGGGUUUUUUUUUUUUUUAUUUAUCAGCUGACCGGGCUGGGAAUGUAAAAACAGGAAAACGGCUGAGCUCAUCCCAGCUCAUCCCAGCUCAUCCCAGUCCCCUCCCUGUCCCCAGCGGGGUGAGUCUGGCCAGGGCCAGGGCAGGAGAUGCCAGCCCGGGAAUGGUGUCGGGAUUUGGGGAUUGUGGGACCGGAGCCAUGGGAUGGGGCACGGGGAUCGGGAGGAUCCACUGGGAGCAGCCCGGGAUCCACCUGGAUCAGGGCAAGGAAGGGAGGACGCGGUCCAAGCAGGAGCAGCCAGCGUCCGGCCCUGAGCGGCACCGGGAGCCCCCCCAUAUCCUGGAGCCCCCCCACAUCCUGGAGCCCCCCGACAUCACCCUGAGGCCCUGCGGGGGGGUCCCCGCGGGGGUCGCGCCCCCGAGGCGCCGCUGUGUGUCCGUCCUGGAGCCUGGCACGGCCUGGGAUGAGGAGGAGGAGGAGGAGGAGGAGGAAGAGCGAUUUCCCGGGGUGUCCCUGCGGAGAUCCAGGACGCUCCGCGGCUCCCUGGAUCCUUUCCGCCGGCACAGCUGGGAACCGGGCAAGGAGCCGCGGGGGAUCCCCGGCUAUGACCAGCUCAGCGAGAGCCCCGAGCUCGGCUCCAGCGCGGAGCAGCUGGGGGGGCUCUGCCGGCGCCGCCGGGACCCCCGGAGAGCCCCCCUGGUCCACAGCAGCGAUGACCUGGACUCGCUGCUCUCCCAGGACGAGGAGGACGAGGCCGAUGUGAAGCGGGCACAGGAGGACGCGCGGAGGCUCCCGGCGCCCCGGGCCGGGCCCCGCUCCCGGGGCUGGUCCCGCUCCAAAUCCGCGUCGCUCGGUGUCAUCGUCAGUGUCCCCGGCGAGGAGGGUGAGUCUGUCCCCCCACCCCUGCCCCCCCAAGGACCCUCGUGUCCCCCCGGCGCUGUCCCUGCUCCGACCUCCCCGGCAACGACCCAAAAUCGAUGGCGCUGCCACCGCAGUUAAUU
rnacentral:lncRNA from 13 species